GGGGGUGGGGGGAAAGGAAUACAAUGUCUAGACUUAAAAGAGAAAAUCUAAAACCUGGCCUGGUGAUCUUAUUAUUAAACACAGCCAAAUCAAACCUGUAGCAAACACAUCUUUUUGUGUUUGACCCGUUACUAAUCUCGUUACUUGUUACUGAUUUAAACUCUGUGUUACUGUUUUAAAGUGAUUUAAAAUCUGAAUGGAGUUAGCGAGAGCUCGAUGUAACUUAGUCGAUUGAAUAAGACAUAAAUUAGUUGCUUUACAUCUCAUGGAAAUCAGAAACAAUGCUUCGUUAUCCACGAUGGAUCUCUCUACAAAACGUGAGACUAUAAAGGGUGAGACUUUUCCAUUGAAUGAAAUGUGUCCUGUCGCUGUGAAGAGUUGGUUACGCUGAUGUUUUGAGCACGAGAUGGUAUAUUCUAAAAUUCCUUUUUUUUCUCUUCUAUCUCACCUAGAUGGUCCAUCUGUGAACCGUAGUUACAACCUAGACCACGAACAGUGGUUACAGCCCCUAGUUCCCGACAUACUAGGUUUCUUCUGUUCGAAGAUGAACCGUGACGAAGCAAAGGUCUUGGGCGAAUUCAUGGACAACUCUAACCUGCCACAGGAACCCCAACGGAUUCAAGACGCCGUAUAUAAAAGGAUUGAUAACCGACGAAAGGACUCCGAGAAAGGAAUAGUAGUGAAAUAGUCACUUUUUAAAUAUAAACCCCAAAUUUGGGACUUCUUUGAUAGGAAUCUCCCCUUAAGUAGAGUUCUAGAGGGAAGGAAAGUGUGCCACGCACCAUGUCAAUGAGAUCGACUACCAAUUCAAACGUCCAGCAUAGCAUGAAUCCCACGACAGUCAAGAAGAGAAGUACGCGUGACUUUGAUUACCUGGAUGUUUGGUCCAGACAAGGAAUUAUUGUUUUCUUCCAUGCUAAUGACUUGGAUUUGAUGACUACGGAUUGUCUGGAAAAACUUGUAAUAGCAAACGAUUAUGAUACACACCGGGGCACAAAUAUUAAAAAAAGUGUAGAAAA